CUGGGCGCAGGUGCAGGGCUGAGCGCACCACCAGCCACAGCCGAAGCCGAAGCCUGGGUGGCCUCAGGCAGCCUGGUGAGCUGCACCCCACUGGCAGCUCCCGCAGACCAUGCAGGCUGCACCCCAGAGUGCCGGUCUCUGCAGAGCACGCUUUGCCUUGUUUUUUUGGGGUUUUUGAGACAAGGUCUCACCAUGUAGUGCAGGCCUAUCUCACUAUGUAACUGCUAUGGAGUGCGUUCAAGGGCAGCUUCGACGACGUAGCAAGACCCUGUCUCCAAAAACCUGAACGCAAACAACAAAAAGGCAAGAGCGCUAUCUAUGAGUGCAUGAGGGCUCUUGGGGGCCAUCUAGAUAUGAACCCAAGUAGACAGGGAGCAUGGAAUGGCCAGGGUAUUUCGCAUCAUAGUAUUUUUUUUUGGUACUGGGAUCAAACUUGGGACCUUGUGCUUGUGAGGCAUGCAGCAGAACCACUGAGCUACAUCCCCGGCCUCAGCAUCAGAGUAUUAACUGCCCUCUUUGUACUGCAGACUGAAUGCUACAUCCCUAGUCCUCUUUUUUUAUUUUGAGACAGUGUCUCGCUAAGUCACUAAAUUCCUCAAGCUGGGCUUGAACUUUUCUGGGGAGGGUGGAGUCUUUAAGAGUGCCUCGUUUUGUAGUUCAGGCUGGCCUCAAACUCAAGGCAAUCUUCCUGCCUCAGCCUCCAAAGUGCUGGGAUUACCAACAUGUCUUCCAAGUUUCCUUCUGGCUCAACAGCUCAUUUCUUUGUAGAUGAAUAAUCCAUUGUCUGGAUGUGCACAGCUUAUUUACCCACUCCCUACUGAAGGACAUUUUGGUCGCCUCCAUGUUUUGGCAAUUUUGAUUUUUUAAAAUUCAAGAUGGUGGUCUCACCAUGUUGCCUAGGAUGGUCUUGAAUUUAUGAGCUCAAGUGAUCCUCCUGCCUCAGCCUCCAGACAUUUUUACAACGAUGAAUAAUACUGCUGUAAACACUCAUGUGCAGGUUUUUGUCUAGACAUCAGUUUUCAACUCAUGUAGGUAAAUAACCAAGCAGCACAUUCUCUGGACCAUAGGGCUGAACUCAAACUCCAAGAUCCUCCUGCUUCAGCCUCCAGUGCUGUGAUUACAGGCAUGCGUUACCACGCCCACUUUGACGCCAGGACUUUCUGAGAGAGGGAGGCUGAGAAGCCCCACGUCCCCAGUGGAGAAGUGGGAGACUGGGAAGGAGGUGGACAGAGGCUGCAGAUCCGAGGAGGGAUCCCCUGUGAAGAUGCCGUUUUGAGCUCCUUCCUUCAAAAACCAGUUGGAGGGAAUUUAGCUCAGUGGUUUCGCUGAGUUCGAUCCCCAGUACCAAAAAAAAAGCCAGUUGGAGUGUUGCUGUUACUGUAACGGAGUCAUGGCUGUGAGGCUUUGAGUGGGAAGGCCCAGGCCAGGAAGAGCUGGGACAUUCAAGUUCUGGGAGGAGCCCAUGAAUCCUCUGGUCACAGAUGAGACAGGAACAGCUUCCAGAUGAGAGGAAAUAAAUUCUGAGCUACAUAGUGAG
ensembl:lncRNA